AUUUCGAAAAAUGAUAUGAUAGCUGUUUUCCUGUGAUUAAUUCUGCGCAACUUUUUCAAAGGCCAUUUUGUGUCGCCAUAUACUUCUCAGUUGUGAUUAUUAUAAAAUAAUAUCACCAGCUUCUGUCAUGCAACCUGCUUUAACUGUUGCGUCACAGUAUGCAUUGCUUGAAAUAUGAAAUAUAUUAUUUCUGAAAGAACGUAAUGCGCAUCAUAAGCCUCAUCAAUGUAAUAAGUUCUCCCUUCGUUUUAUCAGUGUUGCGCUUGCUAUCAACGGUGAGUGAAAAUAAGAACAAAUCCAUGUCUGCUAUGUUAGAUAUAUAGCCAAAGCCAAUUUGGAGAUGAUCGUACUAUUAUACAAUUAAUAAUUGUGUAAUUGCAUAUUAUCAAAAAAAUCACUAAUCAUCCACCUCUAGUAAGUGUAUUUGUUAUUAGUUGGCUUUAGAAGUUGAGAUAAUAAGAUUAAUCAACCUGUCGAGUGACUUUCACUUUAUUCAUAAGCCUAUAGAUUCGAAGCUAAAGUUUACAAUCUUGUGUUUCAGGUAACACGGUAGCGACUGCUGAGACUUUUUACGUCAUCGCUGAACGAGAAGUGGUGUGUUCCUGUAGAUCGUUUUUUGAAGCGGUAGCUUUUCAGUUUGCUUCGUUCUAUGUUUUCAACAUAGAAUAUCCAAAGAAGGCCUUGCUGACGUUUGAUUUUAUUCAGAGGUUCUUCGGUGACAUAAACCCCAGAGGCACUAAGUCG